rnacentral:rRNA from 1 species
GAUGAACGCUGGCGGCGUGCCUAAUACAUGCAAGUCGAGCGAACAGACGAGGAGCUUGCUCCUCUGACGUUAGCGGCGGACGGGUGAGUAACACGUGGAUUACCUACCUAUAAGACUGGGAUAACUUCGGGAAACCGGAGCUAAUACCGGAUAAUAUAUUGAACCGCAUGGUUCAAUAGUGAAAGACGGUUUUGCUGUCACUUAUAGAUGGAUCCGCGCCGCAUUAGCUAGUUGGUAAGGUAACGGCUUAUCAAGGCAACGAUGCGUAGCCGACCUGAGAGGGUGAUCGGCCACACUGGAACUGAGACACGGUCCAGACUCCUACGGGAGGCAGCAGUAGGGAAUCUUCCGCAAUGGGCGAAAGCCUGACGGAGCAACGCCGCGUGAGUGAUGAAGGUCUUCGGAUCGUAAAACUCUGUUAUUAGGGAAGAACAAAUGUGUAAGUAACUAUGCACGUCUUGACGGUACCUAAUCAGAAAGCCACGGCUAACUACGUG